AUUGCUCAGGUAAUGCGGUUUCUGCAGUGUAAUGUAACUGUGAUGAUGCGUCAGGUCGUAUUUUAACACCCGUCAGCUCGAGCCCUGAACGUGCUUCAUGUUCAGAUACACUGGAUUCAUGUUCUCUCUGUUCAGCAUGUGACUCGACCCUGGGCUGAAGACCAGAACUAACUCUGAAUGAAGCAGCUCUGAUGAUCAUAAUCUCUGAAUAACUGCAGACUCGUUUUCUAAGAGGACAUGAAUAUUCUUGGCACUACAUUCAUUUUUAUUGUAGCCCUCAGUGUGUGUGUAGGUUUGUACCUGCAGACGUCGGCGGUCCAGGCGAUCCUCGGGAAAAGCGUGAUCUUGCCCUGCAAUGGUUCUGGAUUCCCAGUGGAAGAGCUGGGGGUUCACUGGGAGGCGAUGGGAAAAGACGUCCUCUCGGUUGGCGGUGACAUCAUCAGGGUCGGGAGGGCGUUUGAGGGGCGGGUCAGUUUCCUCACGGAUCCUGCCGAGUCCGAGGACUUUUCCCUCGUUCUGACUGACGUGAUGCUGGACGAUGAAGAUGUAUACGAGUGUCUCUGGGCGGAUAUGAGACCCAUUUGCUCUGUAUUACUGCAUG